rnacentral:sRNA from 1 species
ACCUGUGUACAAUAACAUGUCCGUGUCUGACAAUACCUGUGUACAAUAACAUGUCCGUGUCUGACAAUACCUGUGUACAAUAACAUGUCCGUGUCUGACAAUACCUGUGUACAAUAACAUGUCCGUGUCUGACAAUACCUGUGUACAAUAACAUGUCCGUGUAUGACAAUACCUGUGUACAAUAACAUGUCUGUGUCUGACAAUACCUGUGUACAAUAACAUGUCUGUGUCUGACAAUACCUGUGUACAAUAACAUGUCUGUGUCUGACAAUACCUGUGUACAAUAACAUGUCCGUGUUUGACAAUACAUGUGUACAAUAACAUGUCCGUGUCUGACAAUACAUGUGUACAAUAACAUGUCCUUGUCUGACAAUACCUGUGUACAAUAACAUGUCCGUGUUUGACAAUAUCUGUGUACAAUAACAUGUCCGUGUCUGACAAUACCUGUGUACAAAUACAUGUCCGUGUCUGACAAUACCUGUGUACAAUAACAUGUCCGUGUAUGACAAUACCUGUGUACAAUAACAUGUCCGUGUCUGACAAUACCUGUGUUUGAGAAACUCAGUCCGCCGUUUUAGGAUGCGUCAUUUCUCCAUCUGACAUUUCCUGUAUACAGACAUUUAAUGGAGUAUAACUGUAGUUCCAUUUAAAAUAAUGGUUUUCUCAGUUUUCUAAUUUUGUUAUAAUUUAAGAUUGUUUAAAUUGUUUGCAUCUUAUAUAAAUUAUAUUUAAGUGUAAACAAGUUUCCAUGGAUUAUUUUAUAUAAUGUUGGUUUUUUUAUCAUUUACCUUGAGAGUUUUUAACAUUUACAUUAAAUCUUAAUGAAAAUCUC